GAUGGAUGUUUUACAGUGCAGAAACACUGUUUACUCGCUCAUAAAUAACCUCUUCGGACGGAAUUGGCAAGAUAUUUUGACGUGAAAGUUUGAGAUUUCCCAGGCUCGGGGUCUGAUAAGGAUUCCUUGCCUUAGCAAAGUCUCUGAGAACCUGACACCUUGUACUUCUGGAGACUCCAGGUGGUUUGCAGUUCUGGAAAAUGGUGGCAAUGGAGACAAAGUAUUAAGGUCCCAAGUGAUUAUUUUCAAUGAAAGAGACCCAUCUCAGGAGCUCAAUGAAGCAGACAGCAUGUGCCGCCAAUUCAAGCACUCACGACUAAACCACAAGUGUGCCGCCCGUAAAUCCAGUGUUGAUGACUGCCUGUGUAUUUUGCCAAGAGAAAGACUGGUCUCCAAAGGCAAGUCCCACUCCAGCCCCCAACCAGAUGAUACCUAGAACCACAGACCUGUAUAGCGUGUGGAUUAAGGCCUAGGCCUUACAGAUUUUCAAUAUUCAAUUAGUGCAUAUUCAUCAUAGUGGAAACAGCCCUCUGAACAGUCACUGAGGAAGGGGAAACUUGAUAGGAGAGAUAAAUUCAGCUUUCUCAAUGUGGUUAAUGUGGAGAGUCACAUUCUUAAUGCAGAGAGGAAUAUCAUUUGCACACCAAAGUUAUAUUUUGCUUUCUUUUUGGGGAUUAUUGGAAUUGUGGUGGUAUCUGAUGGACCCACUUCUCCAAACACACAUGUUGGGUUUCCAUGUUUUAUGGGGACUUUCCAUAGACAUAAUGAUUUUUAUUCUGUACAAACUGUAUAUUCUAUCUCCUAACCCUACCCGUACUCUUAAACGCAACCCUCACAGAAAACGUUCUGUUUUCAAAAAAAACAUCAUUUAGUAUGAUUCAUAAGCUGUUUUCCUCACAAAAAACCAUCCCCACAAGCUCAAAAAUUGUGGCACAUUUGAUCCCCUUAACGAAGGGUUUACCAGGAUCACACACACCAUGAAGAAAACCGGCAGCAUUUCAAAAGUGAGGGUGCUUUGGGUAAUCUGAUAAUAUUUCUGUAGCUGAUAAUGAAUGCCAACGGGCAUCACAAGACACCACUGACAUUUUGCUGGGCUGGACUGACCUGUAGUUCAAGCAGUCAGCUGUAUGAAUGUGUUCGCCUCGGGGGGCACAAACACACAUGCAUACACCACAAAACACUGGGGAAAAAGCCACAAGAAAUAGGCAGUUUGAAUAAUGGAGAAUCAUCUUCAAAAGACCCAGGCGUCACUGGCUUCACAGACAACCAUGGCCCAAAUCAGUACUUCGCUCUCUAAAGUGAGAGCUGAAUGGAAAAUUCAUUGUAGUAGGUCCGAGAACAGCUUAAAAACAGUUUAGUGAGUCUCGAGUGAAAUUAAAAGAUGAGUUUAAGGCUCUGGGCUUUGAAUGUUGUCCCCAAAUGCACAUCCAUGAAGGUAAAUUUAGAAUAUUACCUCUUUUAGUGAGAGUACAUAAGCUAAGAUGAGAAUUUCACUCACGCACAAAUCAUUAUCCUAUUUCAUAGGUGCUUGACAUCACAAAUUAUUAAGCCGACAAGUAUUAAUGCCUAUAAUUACAAGUGCCUGGUUUUCUGCUUUUAGUUACAGAGGGUAAAAGGCAAUGGAUAUAUUUUACUGUGUGAGUACUGAAAUACAGUUGAUUAAAGUUAAUGACUGAAUGCGCUAUCUCAGUGAGUUCAGCUUUAGCCUUGAGCUGUUAUCAGUGAUGAACAAACCUGAGAAAUCCAGCAUGAGAUACUCCUCAAAAUAAUGUCCAGAAGAGCAGAGACACAAGGCCAGUGUGUAGCUCCACAGGAACCUUAUUUUUAUCAAAAAGAAAGAAAGAAAAAAAGGAAUCUGUAAUCACACAAGAUUACAAUCAAGCAAACAAAAUGUGAACACUUAGCUGGGCUUUUUAUUAACACUGUCAAAAAUAUCCUGUUAAAUUUUCUGUAAAAAACAAACAAACAGCAACUGUGGUUUCCAGACAUUCACUAUGAAAAAAUAUGGUGACAAUGUUGCAUGUAUGACAGGUAUGGCAUAUUAGUAACUGUAUGUUUUGCAAACUUGUUAUAACCAUAUAUUUCAUUAAGUGAUAUAAUGUGUGAUAACCACCAUAAUGCAGGUAAUAAAAUAGAAAACCAUGUGAUGAGUUCAUCAUAAGUGACCUGUCCAUAAAACAUGACCAAUACUUGCAUAUAGUCGAGUCAUGCACACAAAGACAAAACACCAUCAUGGUAUCAUGGACAUUAAAAUAAUGCAAUAAACAUUAAAUAAAAUGUGACUAAUAACAAAAGGACAAAACUAAUUAAACAGAAUAUAAUCAUAUGCAGAUUUGGAGUUACUCGAGUUACGUAAUCAGAUUACUUUUCCCAAGUAACUAGUAAAGUAACACUUUACUUUUAUAUUUAUAACAAAAUAUCUAUUACUUUUCCAAAUACGUAACACAAGUUACUUUGUUUUCCCAUUUAUUAACUGACACCUCUCCUGUCCCCAUGUUGAAAGAAAUCAGGAGAAAGUGCAGAGGCGUUGUGUGCGCUAUUUAAAAAUGAUGGUUAUUCUAGGCUAGUUCUAGACCAAAUGUGAGCAUACAUUUACUCAUUUACUUCUCCUGCGUCCCAUUCUUCUGCGAUCCAGAAUAGCAGCACUGCUGAAAGGCUUGUUUGUUUGAGCUGAGCCCUCUACUGUACAGGCGUGAAUUUGCAUUUCCUUCAGC